rnacentral:rRNA from 1 species
GCGAGCGGCGGAUGGGUGAGUAACACGUGGGGAAACCUGGCCCCUAAGUCUGGGAUACCAUUUGGAAACAGGUGCUAAUACCGGAUAAUAAAGCAGAUCGCAUGAUCAGCUUUUGAAAGGCGGCGUAAGCUGUCGCUAAGGGAUGGCCCCGCGGUGCAUUAGCUAGUUGGUAAGGUAACGGCUUACCAAGGCGACGAUGCAUAGCCGAGUUGAGAGACUGAUCGGCCACAUUGGGACUGAGACACGGCCCAAACUCCUACGGGAGGCAGCAGUAGGGAAUCUUCCACAAUGGACGCAAGUCUGAUGGAGCAACGCCGCGUGAGUGAAGAAGGUUUUCGGAUCGUAAAGCUCUGUUGUUGGUGAAGAAGGAUAGAGGUAGUAACUGGCCUUUAUUUGACGGUAAUCAACCAGAAAGUCACGGCUAACUACGUGCCAGCAGCCGCGGUAAUACGUAGGUGGCAAGCGUUGUCCGGAUUUAUUGGGCGUAAAGCGAGCGCAGGCGGAAAAAUAAGUCUAAUGUGAAAGCCCUCGGCUUAACCGAGGGAACUGCAUCGGAAACUGUUUUUCUUGAGUGCAGAAGAGGAGAGUGGAACUCCAUGUGUAGCGGUGGAAUGCGUAGAUAUAUGGAAGAACACCAGUGGCGAAGGCGGCUCUCUGGUCUGCAACUGACGCUGAGGCUCGAAAGC